UACGAGGGGUGCAAGCGUUGCUCAGAAUUAUUGGGCGUAAAGGGUAGGUAGGUGGUCUCAUUUGUCUGAGGUGAAAGCCUUGAGCUUAACUCAAGAAGUGCCUUAGAAACGGUGAGACUGGAGUCCUGGAGAGGGUCGUGGAAUUCCCGGUGUAGCGGUGAAAUGCGUAGAGAUCGGGAGGAACACCAGCGGCGAAGGCGGCGACCUGGACAGGUACUGACACUCAACUACGAAAGCGUGGGUAGCAAACAGG
rnacentral:rRNA from 1 species